rnacentral:misc_RNA from 1 species
GAACUUUGUUGAGUCAUGAAUUGCAGCUGCAGUAUAGGAAGGAAUACCAGAUGAAGUGCUGCAGUUUCUUCUGCAGUUGUCAUUCCCCAACAUUUCCGAGCACACAGAUCCCAUCUGGCUGAAAGUUCUUGGUUGAAAUGGGGAACUGGGGCACUGAUCCCUCUUGGAUCCUCUUCCGUCGUUGUCUGUGUAUGCUGUGUCUCUCAGAAGUAGAGGCAUCCUACCCAG